GGGCCUUCUUCAUUUAUGCGCUUGAUAAGAGUAAUGUGUUAUGGUGCUCCGUAUCUGACAGCUUGGAGAACAGAAUUCCUCCCUAGUGAUGGGAAGCACGGCUUUGUCGUAGCUGGUGAUUGGAUUGCAUCAACAGUGUAGAAAUUGAAACCCUCUCUGCUCAGAUUGGGUGAAGUUGGUGCCGAUUGAUUAAUGCCUGGGUAAAUGCCAUGCCACAGUAAUUCUUUCCCUCUGCUUGUCGGAAAAAGCGUUGGGUUUGUCAGGCUCUAUGAGAGUUCAGGCUGUUGUGCGAUCAUCAAAGAGAUUUCAAGAGCAAGGUCGAGUUCGUCUGGGUCAUUUUCGCAGGUUCGAGCUUGAGGUCUUUCCAAGAGAGAGCUCUUGUUUGCGAGAUCAAAGAGUCCAUGUUCAUCUUAUCUGAGUUGUGGAAGCAAGUGUACUGGUGGACUUGUAGGAAUGGGGAGGAAUCUCCAUUGAGGAGUGGGAAGUCACUGUAACGUGAGGAGAAACUCUAGAGAAAGAGUGGGAUAGCUUAUCAAAAAAAAGAAAGAGUGGGAUAAAAAAAUUGGUAUGUUUAAGCAAUCAUAACAAGGAGCGGAUUGUAGCUGUGGAGAGUAGUCUCCUUUUAAAGAAAGACACUAGAAUUCCAUGUAGUGUCUUUGUUGCAUUAAAUUCUUGUUUUCUAUACACUUUCUUUUCACCUGCCAUAUUUAGUCCUAUGAUUCUUGGCUGUUCUCAAUUUGUGCUUGAGACUUUGGAAAUGUUAUUUUUGGUCAGUUAAGGGUUGUUCUCUUAUUUUGCAAAAUGUAAGCAUUUCGAAGCUGAUUGUUACUUAA